rnacentral:rRNA from 1 species
CCCUUAGAUGUUCUGGGCCGCACGCGCGCUACACUGAUGAACGCAACGAGACCACCUGUACCGAAAGGCAUGGGUAAACUUGUGAAAGUUCAUCGUGAUGGGGAUAGAUUAUUGCAAUUAUUAAUCUUCAACGAGGAAUUCCUAGUAAGCGCGAGUCAUCAGCUCGCGUUGAUUACGUCCCUGCCCUUUGUACACACCGCCCGUCGCUCCUACCGAUUGAAUGGUCCGGUGAAAUCUUCGGAUUGCUGGAUAGGACUUCAUUGACCUAUCUGCGAGAAGUUGCUUGAACCUUAUCACUUAGAGGAAGGAGAAGUCGUANCA